rnacentral:rRNA from 1 species
GACGAACGCUGGCGGCGUGCCUAAUACAUGCAAGUCGUGCGGACUUUGCGGGAGCUUGCUCCCAAGAAGUUAGCGGCGGACGGGUGAGUAACGCGUGGGCAACCUGCCUGACAGACUGGGAUAACAUUCGGAAACGGAUGCUAAUACCGGAUAGGCAGCGAAGAGGCAUCUCUUUGCUGAGAAAGGCGCUAUGGCGUCACUGUCAGAUGGGCCCGCGGCGCAUUAGCUAGUUGGUAGGGUAACGGCCUACCAAGGCGACGAUGCGUAGCCGACCUGAGAGGGUGACCGGCCACGCUGGGACUGAGACACGGCCCAGACUCCUACGGGAGGCAGCAGUAGGGAAUCUUCCACAAUGGGCGAAAGCCUGAUGGAGCAACGCCGCGUGAGUGAUGAAGGCCUUCGGGUUGUAAAACUCUGUCUUCUGGGACGAACGGCCAAGAGAGGGAAUGCUCUUGGAUUGACGGUACCAGAGGAGGAAGCCACGGCUAACUACGUGCCAGCAGCCGCGGUAACAC